AGAGUUUGAUCCUGGCUCAGGAUGAACGCUGGCGGCGUGCCUAAUACAUGCAAGUCGAGCGAAUGGAUUAAGAGCUUGCUCUUAUGAAGUUAGCGGCGGACGGGUGAGUAACACGUGGGCAACCUGCCCAUAAGACUGGGAUAACUCCGGGAAACCGGGGCUAAUACCGGAUAACAUUUUGAACCGCAUGGUUCGAAAUUGAAAGGCGGCUUCGGCUGUCACUUAUGGAUGGACCCGCGUUGCAUUAGCUAGUUGGUGAGGUAACGGCUCACCAAGGCAACGAUGCGUAGCCGACCUGAGAGGGUGAUCGGCCACACUGGGACUGAGACACGGCCCAGACUCCUACGGGAGGCAGCAGUAGGGAAUCUUCCGCAAUGGACGAAAGUCUGACGGAGCAACGCCGCGUGAGUGAUGAAGGCUUUCGGGUCGUAAAACUCUGUUGUUAGGGAAGAACAAGUGCUAGUUGAAUAAGCUGGCGCCUUGACGGUACCUAACCAGAAAGCCACGGCUAACUACGUGCCAGCAGCCGCGGUAAUACGUAGGUGGCAAGCGUUAUCCGGAAUUAUUGGGCGUAAAGCGCGCGCAGGUGGUUUCUUAAGUCUGAUGUGAAAGCCCACGGCUCAACCGUGGAGGGUCAUUGGAAACUGGGAGACUUGAGUGCAGAAGAGGAAAGUGGAAUUCCAUGUGUAGCGGUGAAAUGCGUAGAGAUAUGGAGGAACACCAGUGGCGAAGGCGACUUUCUGGUCUGU
rnacentral:rRNA from 1 species